rnacentral:rRNA from 1 species
UCGGGAAUUUUGGGCAAUGGGCGAAAGCCUGACCCAGCAACGCCGCGUGAAGGAUGAAGUCUCUCGGGAUGUAAACUUCGUAAGAAUAGGAAGAAUAAAUGACGGUACUAUUUGUAAGGUCCGGCUAACUACGUGCCAGCAGCCGCGGUAAUACGUAGGGACCAAGCGUUGUUCGGAUUUACUGGGCGUAAAGGGCGCGUAGGCGGCGUGGUAAGUCACUUGUGAAAUCUCCGGGCUUAACUCGGAACGGUCAGAUGAUACUGCUUUGCUAGAGUGCAGAAGGGGCAAUCGGAAUUCUUGGUGUAGCGGUGAAAUGCGUAGAUAUCAAGAGGAACACCUGAGGUGAAGACGGGUUGCUGGGCUGACACUGACGCUGAGGCGCGAAAGCCAGGGGAGCAAACGGGAUUAGAUACCCAAGUAGUCCCUGAGCGGGCUGGCAAGGCGCAU